rnacentral:lncRNA from 1 species
CUUCUUUCCUCUAUAAAUAUUAAUAAGAGUAGCCAAUUAGGUUGUUUCUGAUGAUAAACUUCUAAUUAUGGAUAGCUAAUUUCAGAAAAGCUUGAACAUAGUUCUCACCCUGAACUUGGCGUCAGGAAAGCCAGAAAUACACAAGAGGAAGGAAAACUCCAAACCACUUGAAAAAUUUAAAAAGAAAUCCUUCUUUCCUCUAUAAAUAUAAUAGGAGUAGCCAAUUAAGUUGUUCCUGAUGAUAAACUUUCAACUAUGGAUAACUAAUUCCAGAAAAGCUUUAACAUUGUCUUCAUCCUGAAGUUCAUGUCAGGAAGGUCGGAAAUACACAAGAGAAGGGAAAACUCCAACCCACUCGAAAAACAUAAAAAAAUCUUUUUUUUCUCUAUAAAUAUCAAUAGGAGUGGCCAAUUAGGUUGUUUCCGACAACAAACUUCUAAUUAUCCAUAACUAAUCCCAGAAAAAGUUGAACAUUGUCUUCACCCUGAACUUGAUGUCAGGAAGGUCGAAAAUACAUAAGGGGGAAAACUCCAACCCACUCGAAAAAACAAAAAAAAAAAAAUCCUUCUUUCCUCUAUAAAUAUUAAUAGGACUAGCCAAAUAGAUUAUUUCUAACGAUAAAUUUUCAAUUAUAGAUAACUAACUUCAGAAAAAGUUUGAACAUUA